rnacentral:rRNA from 1 species
UACGAAGGGGGCUAGCGUUGUUCGGAAUUACUGGGCGUAAAGCGCACGUAGGCGGAUUUGUAAGUCAGGGGUGAAAUCCCGGGGCUCAACCUCGGAACUGCCUUUGAUACUGCAAGUCUCGAGUCCGAUAGAGGUGAGUGGAAUUCCUAGUGUAGAGGUGAAAUUCGUAGAUAUUAGGAAGAACACCGAGUGGCGAAGGCGGCUCACUGGAUCGGUACGUGACGCUGAGGUGCGGAAAG